GCCAGGUGUGGUGGUGCAUGCCUGUAGUCCUACCUACUUAGGAGGCUGAGGCAGGAAGAUCUAAUUUGAGAUCAGCCUUGGCAACUUAGUGAGACCCUAUCUCAA
rnacentral:sRNA from 1 species